rnacentral:rRNA from 1 species
UACGGAGGGAGCUAGCGUUGUUCGGAAUUACUGGGCGUAAAGCGCACGUAGGCGGCUACUCAAGUCAGGGGUGAAAGCCCGGGGCUCAACCCCGGAACUGCCCUUGAAACUAGGUAGCUAGAAUCUUGGAGAGGUCAGUGGAAUUCCGAGUGUAGAGGUGAAAUUCGUAGAUAUUCGGAAGAACACCAGUGGCGAAGGCGACUGACUGGACAAGUAUUGACGCUGAGGUGCGAAAGCGUGGGGAGCAAACAGG